GGAUGAGUUCAUUCAAGCAGCAUUGUUAACGGCCCGCAGCCCAAAGGCGGGACAGAGUCGAAGGAGAUCUCGCCCAUUUUGUUGCUUUUUUCUUUUGUGUUCAAACAAAACUUGUCUUCCUCCCUGAAAGAAUGCCACAGUGCAUUAUUUUUUUCCAGAGUUAAGCAUUUUCCAACAUACAGAAAAGUUGAGAGAGUUUUACAGGGAACCCUUUACCCUUAACUUUUCAUUAUUUUAACUUUUUAUUAUCAAACGUUUACUAUGUCUUAUCACAUAUCUACCUAUAUUGCUAUUCAUUCAUUAGUCUUUAUUUUUUGGUAUAUUUCCAAGUAAGUCUUAGAGAACGUUUUAUUUUUAAAAAUUUCCGUCGUACUAAUGAUGGCAACUGUAAUGUAUUGAGCAGUUAAGUGUUUGGUGUUGUGCUGAGCACAUUGCAGACUUUUAUUAAACUGAAUCUUCCGUAAUUACACCCAUUUUACAGCUAAGAAGCAGGGGCUUGGAGAGGCGUUAAAUCACUUGCCCCGAGAUGGAGCAGUAGUUACUAGGAGGCCCCACGUAUAGGUGACUCCAUCAGACGCUCCAGGAAACUUGGUUAACAUGCAGAUUCUCCGGUUAAAUUCAGCUUUUUUUUCUCCCUUUGGAGACAUUGAUAAAAGUUGGGUGGCUGAGGGGAUGGGUUUAACAUCACCUGUAAGUUUUGCUUUCCUUCCCCGUAUCUAUGUGCAUUUCAGGGUCUUUCAGUCACCUUUCCAUCUUAAGUGAAACAAGGGUGAGUUCUGCAGUUAGGGUGACCCAUGUUUGAAUCUGGCUGCUUCACACCUCAGCCUUGUCAUACUGGGCCAUGAUUUCGGCUCUCAUAGCCUCAGUUUGCUCAGCCAUAAUAAAGGAUACUAACGUCUACUGGAAACCCUGGUGGUGUAGUGGUUAAGUGGUACAGCUGCUAACCAAAGGGUUGGCAGUUUGAAUCCGCCAGGUGCUCCUUGGAAACUGGGGGGCACUUCUACUCUGUCCUACAGGGUUGCUAUGAGUUGGAAUCCACCCCACGGCACUGGGUUUGGUUAUUUUUGGUUAAUGUUUACUGGGAGCCCUGGUGCUGUCCUGAUUAAGGGCUUGGCUGCUAACCAAAAGGUUGGCAGUUCAAAUCCACCGUCUGCUCCUUGGAAACCCUAUGGGGUAGUUCUACUCUGUCUUACAGAGUCGCCGUGAGUCAGAACCCACUGAGGACACUUAACAACAGUAUCUACUAUGAGUGGGAAUCGACUUGGGGCAACCGGCUUUUUUUUUUUUAAACGAAGACUGGAGUCUUAGGGGCACAGUGUUUAAGCUUCCGGCUGCUAACCAGAAGGUCAGCAGUUAGAAUCUACUGGAUGCUCCUUUAGAACCCUAUGGGACAGUUCUACCCUGUCUUACAGGAUCGCUUUGAGUCUGAAUCUACUCCGUGGCAAUGAGUUUGAUCUUGACUUCUGUCAGAACGAUGGAACCCAGGUGGGGCGGUUAAGAGCUAUGGCUGCUAACUGAAAAGUUGGCAGUUUGAAUUCAUCAGCCACGCUUUGGAAAUCCUAUGGAAAAUUCUACUCUGUCCCAGUCCCAUAGGGUCGCUGAAUUGGAAUUGACUCGACAGCAACGUUUUUUUUUUUUUUUUUUCCCAUAGGAGGACUACUGUGAGGGUUCAGAGAGAUAACCUGUGCUAAAAAGCUGGGUCCAGAGUAGGGUCCCAGAAAGGUUGUCUUCCUUUCCAACAGUGUUGGAUUCUUUCCUAUUUCUGUCCCAUAUCUUCAAGUUCUAUUUCGCGUUUUACAGUUCUUGUGGACCCCUGGUGGCGCAGCAGUUUAGUGAUCGCUGCUAACCAAAAGGUCAGCAGUUGAACGCAUCAGCCCACUCAGUGGGAGAAAGGUGUGGUGGUCUGCUGCUUCCCUUCACUUACAACCUUAGAAACCCUGUGGUGCGGUUCUGUUCUGGCCUGUUGUGCUGCUAUGAGUCGGAAUCAACUUGAAGGCAGUGGGUUUGGGUUUUUUUGUUGUUUUGGUUUGGAGUCCUUGUGAGUUCCUGGGUCAUGAUCUUUCCACUGAUUCUGAUUCCAGGUAUGAGUCUCAGGGAGGCCAACAUACUUGAUUUUUGUCCCGUUUGUCCUUUUAAUUCCCUCACUUCAAAACCUCGUCUUCAAGGACGUGGAGUUCAUUCUGUGGUGUCUGGCUGGAGCAGUAAUUUUCUGUAAGUUUUCUGUUUUGCUAAGCUGUCCAUUUUCUGGUCCUUUGGCUAGAGAGAGCAGCCUUUAUGUGUCUCUUUUUGUUUGUGUCUCUUUGGUGUUUUGGGGUUGCUGGUUUCAUAAAAUGCACAUCUGGACUAUAGAAGGCAAAAUGAUAACACAGGGUAUUUAGCACCAAGUUGUUCCUUGGGUCCUGAGGACCAUAGCUUGUUUGCCUUCUUCUCUUCAUCUUUCAGAGUCUAGUUUCCUCAAAGAAAUGAGGCACAAAGCAGCCCAUUGGCCAGAAUGAGUCACAUGGUCUCACCUAACUGCAAGGGGCUGGGAGCUGUGAGGCAGUAAGUACAUGGAUACUCAACAAACAACAAACCUCUCUAUUUCAUAGUGGAUUCUAGGACAUUUUCUUCUUCUGACCUAGAAAGGGUUGAGGAGAUGGCAAAUGAGGUGGGAAAUGAGGGUGGCAUUUCAAAUACCCGUCUUUCCACACAAGUUAUUUCAUCAACAAAUAUUUUUGAACAUGUGAAUGCUCAAAAGCAAUGAAGGUCAUUUCUAACACAUUAUGUUCAGAAACCUAGUUCUUGAUUUCCCCACUCUUCUAAUCCUAUUCCUCCCUAGUUUUCUCCAUCAUUCUCCUGUUGUUCAGGCCAAAAGCUAGAUAUUUAUCUCCUCUCUUUAUCUCAAACCUCACAUUUGCUUCUUUGGCACACCCUGAUCACUAUUCUUCCAAAACAAACCCCAAAUCUGACCAUUCUCGCCUCUGUCCAAGCCACUAUCCCACAAAUUGUUUAGAAUAGUGCUUAGUUCAGGCAUUGUAUUUAAAUAAUGACAGAUAAAUGUGUGUAGGCUGGGCCUGACCAACAAGUUUGCUAUUUGGCUUACCUACCAUUAUCCCACUUUAUAUAUGAGGUAACUGAGGCUCACAGAGGUGAAGGGACCAGUUGCAGAAGCAACACUGGGCCAUGUCUUACUCUUCACAGAUGCCUGCUGUGAAGAGUACACAGUUGUCCAGUGCUCUGUAAGCACUUAGUAAAUAGUAGCUGAUUUUUGAAUUGUUAGGAAAUUUGCUGUUAGUUGGAAUUAUGUUGAGCUAUAACAGAAAAUUUCAGAAUAAUGGGGACUUACAUAAGAAUAAGGAACCUUGGUGGUAUAGUAGUUCAGUGCUUGGCUGCUAACCGAAAGGUCAGCGAUUUGAAUCCACCAGUAGCUCCACAAGUGAAGGUGGCAGUCUGCUUCCAUGAAGAUUUACAGCCUUGGAAAACCUAUGGAGCAGUUCUACUCUGUCUAUAGGUUCUCUAUGAGUUGGAAUUGACUGGAUGGCAAUGGGUUUGGUUUGUUUUUAAUACAAGAAUAAAGUUUAUUUCUUUCUUUCAUAAAAUAUGUCUGGAGGUAGGAUCCCAGAGCUGGUAUCGUGGCUUCAUGAUGUCAGGGAUCGGUGUUCUUUGUAUCUUCCUGUUUGGCCAUAUACAUUGUCAAUAAUACCUUAUAAUCCAAAAUGGCUGCUGAGUAUCAGCCAUCACAUACCACUCCAGCAGCUAGAAUAAGGGCAUACUUCUUUAAGGACACUUUCAGAUACUGUGCUACUUACAUCCUACUGCCUAGAACUUAAUUACAUGGCAAAGCAAGCCUAGCUGCAUGGAAGGCUGGGGAAUAUAGUCUGUCCUGUGGCCCAUGUGUGCAGAUAACAUUGGGGGUUCUAUCAGAGAAGGAGAGAAUGGGUACUUGGAUCAAUGGACACACUAUUCUCUCUGUAAAAUAUUUGGACACCGGUGGCCACUAUGUGCAAACGCUCGUGUUUAGAAGUUUGCUGUUGCGCUUACUAUAGCUAUGUAACAAACUGCCCAGUUUUAGUUUCCUGGGGCUGCCAUAACAAAGUACCAUACACUAGGUGGCUUAAAACAACAGGAUUUUUUUCCUCUCACAGUUGUGGCAGCUAGAAGUGUGAAAUCAAAUUGUCAGCAGGGCUGGCUCUUCUGGAGGCUCUGAGGGAACAUCUGUCUCAUGCCUCUCUCCUGGCUUCUAGUGGUUGCUGACAGUCCUUGGCAUUCCUUGGCUUGUAGAGGCAUCACUCCAACUCCGCCUUUGUCAUCACAUAAGGUUUUUUCCUGUGUCUCUGUCUCUGUGUGUCUGUAUCCAAAUUUCUGUCUUCUUAAAAGGGCAUCAGUUAUUGGAUUUAGGGCCUACCCGAAUUCAGUAUGACUUCAUCUUAACUUGACUACAUCUGAAAAGACCCUAUUUCCAAAAAAGGUCACAUUCACAGUAACAGGGGUGUGAUGAAAGGAGUUCCUUUAGUAGGUUUUUGCCUUGGUUCUUUGGAAAGACAGCUUGGGAGAUUUCCCCACUAAGCCCUGAGGAGUUACCUUUGCCCUAGUUUUCUACCCCAGGGGGUUCGUUACUUCUGUCCAAGUUGAUGGAGAUUUCCUGGGUAAACAGUAAACAACUUGAUGGUUUGAUAUUUUUGUCUGACCCUGUGUUGUAGCCUGCCCUGUGACUGGUCUAUUUUAUGCACUUUGCAGGGAUUGGUCAAUAUACUAUAGACACUUUCAGUGCAGUGAAUUACUUAAUAUGACCCUUCUAGCCAUAGUCUUUGUAAUGCCCACCAAAUGACUGGGUGGGGCUAUGCAAAUGAGGUGCUUUUGGCCCACCAAGGAGAUUGUAUAGCUUGCUAAUAAUGUAAAUAAGGUGCAUGGCACCCUUGUGGGGUGGGGCCAUGCAAAUAAGGUAUAUGGAGCCCCAAUGUGUGGAUGAGUCAUUUUUGCCAUUCCACUAGGCUUAAGAUGAGCCACCCCUGAGGCCAGAAGAAAGGAUCUCACCACCACCAAGAAAGAAGAGCUGAGAGCAGGGUGUGUCUUUUGGAUCCCGGGUCCCUGUGCUGAGAACCUCCUCGAUGUAGGAGACAGAGAGAAACCGGUAACAUCAAAGACUGUGACAGAUAGUGAGAAGCAGCAGCAGAGAAACGGUGGCAGCAGAGGCAGCAAGCAGAACCAGGAGACCAGAAGGAGAUGGCUUGGUGGGCUUCCUGCCUCACAGAGUGAGAAAGCUGAGUGCCUUCAGGCAAGAGGCUUUCUGUUGGAGUGGGAUGCCUCCAGGUGGUACUUGGCAGCAGAGGUAGGGCCAUGAACCCACUCAAUGACAGAGCUGAGCGCCUCCAGGCCCAGACUUACUGGCAGAAUGGAGUGCCUCCAGGCACUUAUCGGCAGAGCUAAAAGGGCUUUGUAACACUUGCCCAAGCAGGGCAGAGGCCAAGGGGCCAGAGAGAGGCAUGCCUGUGGGCACAGCUGAGAAGAGGCUGUCCUGAUGGAAGAACUGUAUCCUGAGCGUUUCUGAACCUGAAUCGUAACCUGUUACUUCCCUAGUAAACUCAUAAUUGUGAAUAUUGUCUGUGAGCUCUGUGUGGCCAUUGCAACAAAUUGUCAAACCCAGCAGAGACGUAGAGAGUGCCAAGGGGAGGACAGCUGGCGUCAUGGAUUGAAUUGUGUCCCCCCCAAAAUAUGUGUCAACUUGGUUAGGCCAUGAUUCCCAGUAUUGUGUGGUUGUCCUCCAUUUUGUGAUUGAUAUGAUCUUCCUAUAUGUUGUAAAUUCUGAUCUCUGCCUGUGCUUAAUGAGGCAAGAUUGGAUUGUGUUGAAGAGGAUUACGGUGGGAUAUAACACCUUUGCUCAGGCCACAUCCCUGAUCCAAUGUAAAGGGCGUUUCCCUGGGGUGUGGCCUACACCACCUUUUUUUAUUACAAAAGAUAAAAGGAAAAGGAAGCAAGCAGAGAGUUGUGGGACCUCAUACCACCAAGAAAGCAGAGCCUGGAGCAGAGUGAGUCUUUUGGACCUAAGGUUCCUGUGCAGAGAAGCUCCUAGUCCAGGGGAAAAUUGAUGACAAGGACCUUCCUCCCAAGCCACCAGAGAAAGCCUUGCCCUGGAGAUGAUGCCCUGAGUUUGGACUUCUAGUCUACUAGACUGUGAAAGAAUAAACUUCUAUUUGUUAAAGCCAUCCACUUGUGGUAUUUCUGUUACAGCAGUGCUAGAUAAUUAAGACAGCAGGUGUCAGAAUUGGUUCAAAGGUUGGAGAGUGGAAGUACGUGUGACCUCCACCUCAUGGGAAGCAGCUUUAGGCUGAUCCAGGUUCUUAUCCCUGAGAAAUCUAGACAAGCUCUGGUACUCCUAGAUUACAGUGGGCUAGGACUUGAAAAUAUCUUUUCGGGAGACACAUCAGUCCAGUAUACACCCCUACGUUAGUGCUAUAAAACAACAGCUAUUAUGUUUAUGGAUUCUCUGCGUUAGGAAUUUAGAAGGGGCACAACAAAGAUGGCCUCUAUUCUGCAAUGUCUGGGAUCCAAAGGCUGGGUGUGAAUUAAUGGCUGGGGGUUGGAGUCAUCUGAAGGCCCAUUCACUCCCAUGUCUGGCAGUUCAUGCUGACUCUUAGUUGGAACACCUACACGCUGGGUGUCCAUGUGAGCUUCCUCACAGCAUGGCUAGGUUCUACCAGUGAGUAUCCUGAGAGAACCAAGAGGAAGCUGUAUCACCUUUUAUGAUCUAGCAUCAGAAGUCACAUAGCAUCACUUCCACCAUACUCAGGCCCACUCAGAUUUAAGAGGGGGGAACAUAGCUCCCAUCUCUCAAUGGGAAGUGUCAAAGUGACAUUGUGAGAAGAACAUGUGGGAUGGGAGAUCUUAUUGUAUCUAUCUUCGGGAAAAUACAGUCUGCCACAGCUGCUCUCUAAUAUGUCCUUCACUUCUGUUCCCACAAGCUGAGCUACAUAUUUACCAAGAGUCAAUUGUAUUUGCUCUUAGAUCUACUUCUGUUAAUUGCAUUUAUCAUUGAACUUACAUCAUUUAAUUAGAUGUUUUUAAAUAGAAAAUAUUUGUGAAUAAUACAGUGUCUAGCAAAGGAGAGAUACCUGAAAUUAAAAAAAAUAUAUAUUUGUUAUAAAUAAAAGUAUCAUGUGCUUAUUUAAAAUUUGAAUAAUACAGAAGUAUAUAAAUUAAAAAGUAAAAUUGAUGAGUCCUUUCCCCUUCUUGCCACAAACUGCAAUCUCUUUACCAAAGAAAAGCUGACCCAGAAGGAGAAGGAGGCCCUUGACCAUUGGUGUCUGGCCUGGAUCAACAUCAUCCUAACCCACGGGAAUGAGAAACUGGUAGAGUCUGUGAAGCAACAUCAUUUGAAGUCCAGUUUUACAUCGACAAGACCAAACUCCUUGACAUCUUUUAUGAGACCCAUCACAGCACUGGACAUGGCAGUCCCUCCAGGCGCUCUGUAGUCCGCGUCCCGUUUCCUUGGAGACUGAGACGCGAGAGAAUGCGUCUGGUUUUGCUGGGAAGUUCAAGUGACCUGGGUAACCGCGCGAUCCACACAGAGACAAGGAGGCUGGAGAAGCCGAACAGGCAUCCCAGAAGAUCAGGGCCCCAAGGACUACAACUCUUCUUCCAUUUUCCCCAAUGGCGCGCGUCUUUGCAGAACCCGACCGCUCUGGGAUUCGCUCCACAAUCCACAAGUACCAGGCGCUGGAUUAUGGCCCAUGGCAGCGGUCUAAUCAGAAAACCAAGCCCUCUACUCUACCUCCAGUCCAACCAACCAGCAACAACAAGAAAAACAAAAGGAAGGGCUUCAUUAGCCUCCAGCCAGCGUUGCUCUCCAAGUCCGUCUUAUCUGUGGCAAGCCAGCCGAGGAGUCACCGAGAACUGCGCAGAGGGGAGAAGUUGGACCCUGGGAAGAUGCAGGCGAAAAUUCGGCUACUAAGGUUGGUGCUCAGGAACAGGCGCACCUCGCUCCAGAUGCUCCAGAACCACGAGAACUUCCUCACCAAGGUCAACCAGGACCUGGUCAAGACCAUCCAAGACAUGGAGGACAGCACGGCCCUGAAAGUGCGGGAAAUGCUGCAGCAGCAGACUAUCCUCGGGAAUGUCAUCGACAUUUUGGAGUAUUCAAACAAGAAGAGGCUGGAGGAAUUGAAAUGUGAACUCCAGGAGUGGGAGGAGAAGGAGGAAUCUCAGAUAAAUUACCUGGAGAAGCAGGUGGAGCAGCUGGAUGCCAAAAUCAAGAAGAUGCAUGAGGAAGUGAACUUCCUGAGCACUUACAUGGACCAUGAGUAUCCGGUCAGAUUGGUCCAGAUUGCCAACCUUCUGCGCCAGCUCCAGCAGACGAGAGACAGACAGCAGGAUGAGUUGGACGAACUUAGUGAGAUGCGCAAGAUGGUCCUGCAGUCGUUGUCCAAUAAGAUUCAGAGGAAGGAAAAAGGUCUUCUAAAAUCUCUGGUCAUGAAAGUCCUGGAUCCCCAUCAGGAGGUUCUUGUACAGAACACCCGGGAUAACCAAGAAAUGCUGAAAUACAUGGACGAGUUCAGAGAUGUGAGUGGGCAAGGAAGUUUAUUGACCAGUUUACAGAGGAAAUGCCCUUAUUAAGGGCCCAGGUGCAACAACUCCAAGCCCAGAUCCGGGAUCGCCGAGAGAUCAUAUUUGAGGAUGUCCUGCUUCGGAGACCCAAGUGCACCCCAGAAAUGGACGUCAUCCUCAACAUCCCUGUGGAGGAGCUGCUGCCCUUCUAGUUGGCAGUGUCACGGACUACUCCUCCCUUCCCUGCUUUCUUCCUCCCACCUGGAACCUUGAAUUGUCUCCUUCCAAGACCACGUCCUCAUCUGGGGUAGACCCUAAUUUUCAGUUCUUUCCUUGUUUUCCCCCUCCCUCUGUCUCCCCACCUCCUUCUCUUUCUCUCACCCUCCCUCUCUUCCUUAUUUCCUUUUUUUUUUUUUUUACCUUCUUUCUGGCCAGAUUGGUGCUGCUGGGUAGUGAGAAUUCCCAGUCAAGUUUGCCAUUUCCUUCAACAAAUAAAACUGGAUUUGUAUUUGCUCUUUGCCAGUGUCGGGGGUUCCCAACUAAGCCUUGUAGAAGAUGUGAUAGGAAUGGACUUUGUCUUAGGAUAAGGGGUGGGCAGCUGUGCUAACUGCAUCUGAGGCUCAAGAGUUCUCUAGCAGCACCUCUGGGAAGAUGGCAGUGUGAGCAGAUCUAAGGUGCUGAACCUGUCACAUGAGCACCAAGAAAAGCAGCUAGAAAUCUGUACUCUGAACUCUGUAAGAACUAUGAAAAGUAGGCGGAGGGUUGCUGUAACUGCACACUGAAACAAGAAAAAGGCGACUUUUAAACAGUAGAAAAACUUAUUUUUCUGCUAUCCUUGCCCCUCCCUGCUGGCAGAGCAGCUAGGUGGCUGCAGCAGAGGCAAACCACAGUUUGUGUUCUCAAACAGGGGGCUCUGAUCUCUGGCUCUGGAGUGAUUAAGGCAGACUUGGCUGGAGGACUGGUCAGUGUAUCUGUUACGAUCUAUAUGGGAGCUGCCUGAAGGACUGCAGCCUACGUUGGGCCAGAAUCAGGCUCAUGAAGGGUGAGGAAGGAGGCAGCAAAUAAAGACUUAAGGCUGUGACAGCUUGAGUGUUUCUUGCAAAAAUUAGUGCAUUUGAAGUCACCAUGUAUAUGGGAGAAUGGAGACAGCCACACACGUGCUCAGUGCUAACACACUGUAAUAUUUUAACAUUCUAGUUUCACCAGAAAAUCUCAAAGCACAAAGCACAGAAAAUCUCAAAAGAACAAGACAAGGGGAGAGAAAUUAUCUCUAUGGAAGCCUGGAAAAGGGACAGACUAGGAGACUUUAAGACAGCAGUAUUAAACAUACUCAAAGAACUACAGGAAAACAUGGAUAAAAAAACUAGAGGAUAUCAGGAAAACAGUAUAUGAAAAAACAAGGAUACCAGUAAAGAGACAUUAUAAAAAGAAACCAAACAAUCCUGGAGCUGAAAGAUAUAACAAAUGGAGAAAAAAGGAAGGACUCAAUAGCAGAUUUGAACUGACAAGAGAAAGAAUCAGUGAACUAGAAAAUAAGACAAUUAAAAGUAUUGAAAUCUGAAGAGCAAAAAGAAAAAAAGGAUCAAGAAAUCUGAGCAAAGCCUCAUGGAACUGUGGGCCAUCAUGGAAUCCCAGAAAGAGAAGAGCGAGAAAAAGAAACAAUAUUUGAAGAAAUACUGUGUUUUUAUGCAAAUAGUGCAUGACUCCUUCAUUUGUCAACCACACCCUCCCCACGCAAGGUAUUUUUGUAAGCAUGCUGUUUUAGUUACCUAGUGCUGCUAUAACAGAAAUAUCACAAGUGGAUGGCUUCAACAAACAAGUUUAUUCUCUCACAGUUUAGGAGGCUAAAAGUCCAAAUUCUGGGCAUCAGCUCCAGGGGAAGCCUUUCUCUCUCUGUUGGCUCUGGAGGAAGGUCCAUGUCAUCAAUCUUCCCCUGGUCUAGGAGCUUCUUAGUGCGAGGACUUUGGGUCCAAAGGAUGUGCUCUGCUCCUGGCACUACUUUCUUGAUGGUAUGAGGUCACCCUCUCUGCUCGCUUCUCUCUUUUAUAUCUCAAAAGACAUUGACUUAAAACACAACCUAAUCUUAUGGAUUGAGUCCUGCCUCCUUAACACAUCUGCUUCUAAUUCUGCCUCAUUAACAACACAGAAGGAUUUGCAACACAGGAAAACCAUAUCAGAUGACAAAAUGAUGGACAGUCACACAAUACUGGGAAUCAUGGCCUAGUCAAGUUGACAUGUAUUUUUAGGGGAUACAAUUCAAUCCGUAACAUGCUGUAUGCUAAUUUUUUUUAUAGCAACAUGUAAAAAAAUUGGCAUAGUGGUGCUUACAAAAAUAUCCCCUGGGGGGAGGGCGUGUUUGGCAAACAAAUAUAGAAAGCACGUGUUACUUGUGUAAAAGUUUGGUAAUGGCAGAAAAUUUCCAAAUUUGGUGAAGGACAUGAAUCUACAAAACCAAGAUGUUCAAUGAACUCCAAGUAGGGUAAACCCAAACAGAUCCACACUGAGACAAAAUAUGAUCAAACACUCAAAAGCCAAAGAUAAAGAGAGAAUCCUGAAAGAAGCAGGAGAAGCUAAUUGUCACAUACAAGGGAUACUCAAUAAGACUAAGGCCUAUUUCCUCUCUAAAACCUUGGAGGCCAGAAUGCAGUGGGAUGACAUACUAUAAGUGCUGAAAUGAAAGAACUGUCAACGAAGAAAUCUGUAUCUGGCAAACUCAAGAGUGAAAGAAAUUAAGACAUUCCAAGAUAAACAAAAGCUGAGGGAGUGAAUGACGACUAGACCUGGCCUGCAAGAGGUGCUAAAGGGAGUUCUUUAGUUAGAACUAAAAGGACAAUCGGCAACGACUUGAAGACAUGUAGACAGGAAAGAUCUCUGAUAAAGGUAACUGGAUGGGCAGAUAUAAGGAUCAGUUUUAUGGUAUAUUUGGCCUGUAACUUUGGUAGUUAUGUCCUGUGUGAUUCCAAAAGACAAAUAAUAAAAUAUGAAUUUAUGAUCUUGGGCACAUAAUGUUUAAAGAUGUAAUUUAUGAUAACUACAUAAAGGCAGGGGGAGGACUGUAUAGGAAUAGAGUUUUUAUAUGUUACUGAAGUUGGUAUCAAUUUAAACUAGGCCAUUUUAAAUUUAAGAUGUUAAAUGUAAUUCUCACGGUAACUGUCUUAGGCUGGGUUCUCCAGAGAAUCAAAAGCAGUAAAGCGUAUAAAUCUAUAUAUAAAAAAUGUAUUUAUAUCAAGGAAACAGCUCAGGUGAUUGUAGAGGCUGGGAUGUCCCAAGUCCAUGGAUCAGGAUAGGGGCUUCUUCUGAUUGACAUAGUCACAGGGGCUGGUGAACCCAAUAUCAGCACGUUGAAGAGCAGGGCUCUUGUUCACAGGCUAUGAAGAUGGACAAAUCCCAAG